GGAGGGGAGGGUUAUAGGUGUCUGUAGUAGAGGAGGAGGGUUAUAGGUGUCUGUAGUAGAGGAGGAGGAGGGUUAUAGGUGUCUGUAGUAGAGGAGGAGGGGGGUUAUAGGUGUCUGUAGUAGAGGAGGAGGAGGGGUUAUAGGUGUCUGUAGUAGAGGAGGAGGGUUAUAGGUGUCUGUAGUAGAGGAGGAGGAGGGUUAUAGGUGUCUGUAGUAGAGGAGGAGGGUUAUAGGUGUCUGUAGUAGAGGAGGAGGGUUAUAGGUGUCUGUAGUAGAGGAGGAGGAGGGUUAUAGGUGUCUGUAGUAGAGGAGGAGGAGGGUUAUAGGUGUCUGUAGUAGAGGAGGGGGGUUAUAGGUGUCUGUAGUAGAGGAGGAGGGUUAUAGGUGUCUGUAGUAGAGGAGGAGGAGGGUUAUAGGUGUCUGUAGUAGAGGAGGGGAGGGUUAUAGGUGUCUGUAGUAGAGGAGGAGGGUUAUAGGUGUCUGUAGUAGAGGAGGAGGAGGGGUUAUAGGUGUCUGUAGUAGAGGAGGAGGGUUAUAGGUGUCUGUAGUAGAGGAGGAGGGUUAUAGGUGUCUGUAGUAGAGGAGGAGGGGUUAUAGGUGUCUGUAGUAGAGGAGGAGGGGGGUUAUAGGUGUCUGUAGUAGAGGAGGAGGGUUAUAGGUGUCUGUAGUAGAGGAGGAG